rnacentral:rRNA from 1 species
GACGAACGCUGGCGGCGUGCUUAACACAUGCAAGUCGAACGGAAAGGCCCUGCUUUUGUGGGGUGCUCGAGUGGCGAACGGGUGAGUAACACGUGAGUAACCUGCCCUUGACUUUGGGAUAACUUCAGGAAACUGGGGCUAAUACCGGAUAGGAGCUCCUGCUGCAUGGUGGGGGUUGGAAAGUUUCGGCGGUUGGGGAUGGACUCGCGGCUUAUCAGCUUGUUGGUGGGGUAGUGGCUUACCAAGGCUUUGACGGGUAGCCGGCCUGAGAGGGUGACCGGCCACCUUGGGACUGAGAUACGGCCCAGACUCCUACGGGAGGCAGCAGUGGGGAAUAUUGCACAAUGGGCGGAAGCCUGAUGCAGCAGCGCCGCGUGCGGGAUGACGGCCUUCGGGUUGUAAACCGCUUUCGCCUGUGACGAAGCGUGAGUGACGGUAAUGGGUAAAGAAGCACCGGCUAACUACGUG